rnacentral:rRNA from 1 species
GACGAACGCUGGCGGCGUGCCUAACACAUGCAAGUCGAACGGAGUUAAGCCCUUCGGGACUUAACUUAGUGGCGAACGGGUGAGUAACGCGUGAGAAACCUGCCUUUCAGUGGGGGACAACAGUUGGAAACGACUGCUAAUACCGCAUAAAGUUAUUUGGGGGCGAUCCCCGGGUAACCAAAGAUUUAUCGCUGAAAGAUGGUCUCGCGUCUGAUUAGCUAGUUGGUGAGGUAACGGCCCACCAAGGCGACGAUCAGUAGCCGGACUGAGAGGUUGAACGGCCACAUUGGGACUGAGACACGGUCCAAACUCCUACGGGAGGCAGCAGUGGGGAAUAUUGCACAAUGGGGGAAACCCGUGAUGCAGCGACGCCGCGUGAGUGAAGAAGUAUUUCGGUACGUAAAGCUCUAUCAGCAGGGAAGAAGAAAUGACGGUAACCUGACUAAGAAGCCCCGGCUAACUACGUG